rnacentral:rRNA from 1 species
AUGUCGUACUCGGACGACGACAGUCUUCCGGGGGAGUGUAGCUGGUGCCACGACGAUCGAGGUAUGUGCGACAGGUUCGUUCGGCUGGACGAAGAUCGGCGCUUCAGCAUUAAGCUCGAGGAGACCUUCGAUUGUGAAACGCUUAUCCCAUGCCAUGCAAGACGCUAUGUCUUGGAGAGGAUGGGUUUUGAAGACCAUGAAAAUUUCGAAACAAAAAAAAUACACCUAAGGACCCAUCAUGAUAUGGAUUUUGAAGUAAAUCUGUGCAAUGCUCAGAGCGUAACCCAUUUUGGUUGCCAAAAUUGGGAAGCACUUUGCAAAAUGUAUAGUUUUUAUGAGGGUAUGAUUGUCACCAUGGAUCUUGGUGAUCCUAACAUCGAGCAAGACAAUAUGGACAUUUGGGUCCUUGUUGAUACGCUUCCGAUUGUACCGCUAUCUUAUUUUGAUUCUUCAAAGACUGUGCGGAAGAUGGUAGAUAAAACCCACUACACCGAUGGCACCGAAUUAACGUAUAAGGAGAAAAAUCAUGUGAUCGCAUUUUGUAAUCUUCUUGAGAAUUACAAUAACUAUUAUCGAACUCCUCCAAAUUAUGGUGAAUACGUGCCACUACUGCAUGUGUUGAACCACGAAACUCCCGAUGGAUUGUGUGCCUCAUCUGAUGUCGCUGCAUGGUCGCCUCUCAGUUCUGAACAUACUGUCAGGUAA